rnacentral:rRNA from 1 species
UCUCCGUUGGUGAACCAGCGGAGGGAUCAUUACCGAGUUUACAACUCCCAAACCCAAUGUGAACGUUACCAAACUGUUGCCUCGGCGGGAUCUCUGCCCCGGGUGCGUCGCAGCCCCGGACCAAGGCGCCCGCCGGAGGACCAACCUAAAACUCUUUUUGUAUACCCCCUCGCGGGUUUUUUUAUAAUCUGAGCCUUCUCGGCGCCUCUCGUAGGCGUUUCGAAAAUGAAUCAAAACUUUCAACAACGGAUCUCUUGGUUCUGGCAUCGAUGAAGAACGCAGCGAAAUGCGAUAAGUAAUGUGAAUUGCAGAAUUCAGUGAAUCAUCGAAUCUUUGAACGCACAUUGCGCCCGCCAGUAUUCUGGCGGGCAUGCCUGUCCGAGCGUCAUUUCAACCCUCGAACCCCUCCGGGGGGUCGGCGUUGGGGAUCGGCCCUCCCUCUGCGGGUGGCCGUCUCCGAAAUACAGUGGCGGUCUCGCCGCAGCCUCUCCUGCGCAGUAGUUUGCACACUCGCAUCGGGAGCGCGGCGCGUCCACAGCCGUUAAACACCCAACUUCUGAAAUGUUGACCUCGGAUCAGGUAGGAAUACCCGCUGAACUUAA